GAUGAACGCUGGCGGCGUGCCUAAUACAUGCAAGUCGAGCGAACAGACGAGGAGCUUGCUCCUCUGACGUUAGCGGCGGACGGGUGAGUAACACGUGGAUAACCUACCUAUAAGACUGGGAUAACUUCUGGAAACCGGAGCUAAUACCGGAUAACAUGUUGAACCGCAUGGUUCAACAGUGAAAGACGGUCUUGCUGUCACUUAUAGAUGGAUCCGCGCCGCAUUAGCUAGUUGGUAAGGUAACGGCUUACCAAGGCAACGAUGCGUAGCCGACCUGAGAGGGUGAUCGGCCACACUGGAACUGAGACACGGUCCAGACUCCUACGGGAGGCAGCAGUAGGGAAUAUUCCGCAAUGGGCGAAAGCCUGACGGAGCAACGCCGCGUGAGUGAAGAAGGUCUUCGGAUCGUAAAACUCUGUUAUUAGGGAAGAACAAAUGUGUAAGUAACUAUGCACGUCUUGACGGUACCUAAUCAGAAAGCCACGGCUAACUACGUG
rnacentral:rRNA from 1 species